AAAAAAUGUUUCAGGUGUUUCAAGGGAUGGUCGCCUCAACAGAUGUCAUUGCACAUGAGUAAUCCUGUGGAAAAUGUCCACAUCCAGCGAGUUAUUACGUGGCUGGCUAUUUAUAGAACAUGCAUAGUGCUGGUUAUUGACCAGAAUCAGCAGCAGAAGCAGUAGUGGAGGGAGGGUGGUGGUGGUGGAGUGAUGGGGGUCUGUUGUUUGCUGUACCGGCCCUGUAACCCAAGCUGGUAAUUGCCACACUAGAUGCACAUGUGAUCCCCUCACAGGAGGAAUAGUGGAACAAUACCUGCCCACACAGUGUGAUGAUAUAUUACAGCCUUUUAAGUGGCAACGAAAUACAGAUCUAUUUGUAUAGCCCUGACAUGGGACCAUCCAUCGAAUACACAGUCAGGUUUGAAGCAGAGUUCAAAGACAAGGCCAAACACAUGGUCAACAUUCGGGAUAUAGCAUAUCAGUACUCGACCCAACAUUAUUGAAUCAUAAGCCAAAGGAUGUUCACCGGGAUUAGUAAGACUGAUUAUUCAUGAGGAGUAUCUUCCAUCAAUCAGAUCGGCAAAUACUGAUUCUCCCAACAAGUCACAGUGGUUGUGCUAAAUGAGUCCCUGUUUUUCCAUUAUUCUGCUACUAAUGACCAACAUAAAGUUACACCAUGAGCAGGCAGCGCUGAUGGACAGCAGGGAAGUGGCCAUGUGUGCGUGCCUGCAGUUAUAGGAUGGGCAUCAUCUGGAUGAUUUACUGUACAAGUAUCCUUGGAAUAUGGUAAAUACAGUAAGACAUGGCGGAAAGCCUAUGCAAACUUUCAGUGAGAGUGCAGGGUUUUGCAUCACUUUUAGCAAUACUGCUGCCAUAUGAAAUGGGACAAUAUGGGCUUCACUCAUUUUGAGAAUCAAACCAAGAUCUUCAGAGCAAGGACUGAAAACAACAGCUCCCUCACAUUUCCUGCAAGUGUGCUUCUAACUGUCAGGGUCAAAAAGUAAUGGCAAUUAACAAAGAACAUAAUCCUCUA